GGCACUGCUCAAUCACGUCAACUUAAUAACAACCUCAGUUUUCUAUACCAUCUUGCCAACCGAAUCCCUGCCGCAUGAGGCCGACCAUCAGCGAGGUGCAGUAAUUACACUUGGUGGGGAUGCUGAAGGAUUUCACCGCAAACUGAUGAGGCUUGGGCUAGAGAAUAGAG